UUAAGUUCAGCGGGUAGUCCUACCUGAUUUGAGGUCAAGUGUUCAAAAAAGAGUGUCCCUUCACCAGAGACGGUUGGCAGCUGAACAGACAGAGAGCAAUCCACUGGCGUAGAUAAUUAUCACACCUGUGACGGACCGCAAACAGUUCCGCUAAUGCAUUUCAGAGGAGCUGGAUUGACCAAGGCCACCAGCAAACCCUC
rnacentral:misc_RNA from 1 species